CAGUAGCCGCGGGAAUCCGUAGGUGGCAAGCGUUGUCCGGAAUUAUUGGGCGUAAAGCGCGCGCAGGCGGAUAGGUCAGUCUGUCUUAAAAGUUCGGGGCUUAACCCCGUGAUGGGAUGGAAACUGCCAAUCUAGAGUAUCGGAGAGGAAAGUGGAAUUCCUAGUGUAGCGGUGAAAUGCGUAGAUAUUAGGAAGAACACCAGUGGCGAAGGCGACUUUCUGGACGAAAACUGACGCUGAGGCGCGAAAGCCAGGGGAGCGAACGGGAUUAGAUACCCCCGUAGUCCCUGUCUCUUAUACA
rnacentral:rRNA from 1 species